rnacentral:rRNA from 1 species
UACGGAGGGUGCAAGCGUUAUCCGGAUUCACUGGGUUUAAAGGGUGCGUAGGCGGGUUAUUAAGUCAGUGGUGAAAGCCGGCAGCUCAACUGUCGAACUGCCAUUGAAACUGAUAGCCUAGAAUCUAGUAGAGGUAGGCGGAAUGUAUCAUGUAGCGGUGAAAAUGCUUAGAUAUGAUACAGAACACCAAAUUGCGAAAGCAGCUUACUAUGCUAGUAUUGACGCUGAGGCACGAAAGCGUGGGGAUCAAACAGG